UAAUCGUCAUCUAGAACGGGAUCGCCAGUGGAACGCGCUUGACGUGAAGCGGCUAAAUAGUAUCAAGCUCGCCCAAUUCACCCUGCCCGUCGGGCCGAUGAGGGUUAACCUAGUAGACGACGCUAUGCAUGUAGAGCCGAAGAUAGAGAGCUGACGGACGGGGGUUCAAUUCCCC
rnacentral:tmRNA from 11 species